AACGGCCAUACCAUGCUGAAUAUACCGGUUCUCGUUAGAUCACCGAAGUCAAGCAUCAUUGGGCACGGUCAGUACUUGGGUGGGUGACCACCUCGGUGCCACAG